GCUCAGAUUGAACGCUGGCGGCAUGCCUUACACAUGCAAGUCGAACGGUAACAGGUCUUCGGACGCUGACGAGUGGCGAACGGGUGAGUAAUACAUCGGAACGUGCCCAGUCGUGGGGGAUAACUACUCGAAAGAGUAGCUAAUACCGCAUACGAUCUGAGGAUGAAGGCGGGGGACCUUCGGGCCUCGCGCGAUUGGAGCGGCCGAUGGCAGAUUAGGUAGUUGGUGGGACAAAAGCUUACCAAGCCGACGAUCUGUAGCUGGUCUGAGAGGACGACCAGCCACACUGGGACUGAGACACGGCCCAGACUCCUACGGGAGGCAGCAGUA
rnacentral:rRNA from 1 species